AUACGUAGGGGGCGAGCGUUGUCCGGAUUUAUUGGGCGUAAAGAGCUCGUAGGCGGCUUAGCAAGUCGGCCGUGAAAGUCCGAGGCUCAACCUCGGAAAGCCGGUCGAAACUGCUAUGGCUAGGGUCCGGUAGAGGAGAGUGGAAUUCCCGGUGUAGCGGUGAAAUGCGCAGAUAUCGGGAGGAACACCAGUAGCGAAGGCGGCUCUCUGGGCCGGUACCGACGCUGAGGAGCGAAAGCGUGGGGAGCAAACAGGAUUAGAAACCCGGGUAGUCC
rnacentral:rRNA from 1 species